UGCUGUCCGCGGCCGCUGCUUCCUGAUUGAUUCUGCCAGAGGUCACUGCUAUCGGGGUUCCCUUACUCCCUGCCGGUGGAGUGGGUUCGGCCCUCGGCGUACUACUCAGUAACACGGGGAUAACCUGCCCUACGGAAGGGGAGGACCUCCGGAAACUGAGGAUAAUUCCCUAUAGGUGACAGACACUGGAAUGCCCUGUAACGGAAAGCUCCGGCACCUUACGAUGGAUCUGCGGCCGAUUAGGUUGUUGUAGGGGUAAAUGGCCCAAUGAGCCGAUAAUCGGUACGGGUUGUGGGAGCAAGAGCCCGGAUUUGGAUUCUGACACAUCAAUUUUUACCCUACAGGGCGAAACCGGCGCAAACACUUUACAAUGCGGGAAACCGUGAUAAAGGAACUUCAAGUGCCUGUAUAUGUGGGCUGUCCAGGUGUCUAAAAAAAACCUGAAGAAAGGCCCGGGAAGGACCAGAGCCAGCUACCACGGUAAUACCGGCCUAUCUAGAGCUGCCCACUUUUAUUGUUUUUUAAGCGCUAGGAGCUGGAUUGUUAUAUCUCUUGAUAAAACUGACAGCGCCACAUUCAGGCGUUGACGGGAUAAGGCCAAUCAUGGAAUCAG
rnacentral:rRNA from 1 species